rnacentral:piRNA from 1 species
UCCCAGACGCUGUUGAAUAUCUCGUUCCC